UCUCUCAUACGCUGCAUGUAGAUGCUUCUGUGUCCUAUCAUUUGCAGGCAGGGCUACUCUCCUUCUUCUAGUCUUUCCGCUCCUCUCAUUUUUCCUUCAGUUUGAAACACACUCCGGAGCCUCACUGCCCAAGUUUGGUCCCAGGACCAGCAGCAUCAGCCUCCCGUGGGAGGAGCCUUGGAGGUGCUCCAUCACUAAUCCAAGCGAGAGAUGACGGGAGAGUCAGACAAGAUGGAAGCUCCCAAGGUAGAGAAAAGAAGUUGGAUUCGGGAAAAUAAUUUGAAAGUAGAGUCAACAGGACAUCCUGACCAGUUGUACGUGGACUGUGAGAGUACCAGUGAGUGAAAGCUGUCUCCAAGAAAAAUGCAGUUGCUAAGAAUCUGCUCUGUGGCUGCUCAAGCUUGGCAUGGGAAAUUCUCUUCUGGAAUGGAAUUGGCAUGGAGAUGGCGGUGGCCUCUUAGGUCCUUCUCCCACUCACGGUGUGGGAGAAUUCCCAGAAGGAAAACGAAUGGCUGAGCGAAGGGCAAAGGCCUACGGGAGGGAACCUGAGGAAGGCAGGAUGUGGAAGAACCAAGUGGCGUUGAGCAGGAACAGCUGCCAGUUUUCGUGUUGUCGGCAGUCUUCGAGCGUGAUUCCGAGUGUGAUCUACCACUGGCCAUUUUCCAGAAAUUUUGAAUAAAUGAAAAAUGCUGGGCAAAA